rnacentral:rRNA from 1 species
UUGAAGAGUUUGAUCAUGGCUCAGAUUGAACGCUGGCGGCAGGCCUAACACAUGCAAGUCGAACGGUAGCACAGAGAGCUUGCUCUCGGGUGACGAGUGGCGGACGGGUGAGUAAUGUCUGGGAAACUGCCUGAUGGAGGGGGAUAACUACUGGAAACGGUAGCUAAUACCGCAUAACGUCGCAAGACCAAAGAGGGGGACCUUCGGGCCUCUUGCCAUCAGAUGUGCCCAGAUGGGAUUAGCUAGUAGGUGGGGUAACGGCUCACCUAGGCGACGAUCCCUAGCUGGUCUGAGAGGAUGACCAGCCACACUGGAACUGAGACACGGUCCAGACUCCUACGGGAGGCAGCAGUGGGGAAUAUUGCACAAUGGGCGCAAGCCUGAUGCAGCCAUGCCGCGUGUAUGAAGAAGGCCUUCGGGUUGUAAAGUACUUUCAGCGGGGAGGAAGGCGAUAAGGUUAAUAACCUUGUCGAUUGACGUUACCCGCAGAAGAAGCACCGGCUAACUCCGUGCCAGCAGCCGCGGUAAUACGGAGGGUGCAAGCGUUAAUCGGAAUUACUGGGCGUAAAGCGCACGCAGGCGGUCUGUCAAGUCGGAUGUGAAAUCCCCGGGCUCAACCUGGGAACUGCAUUCGAAACUGGCAGGCUAGAGUCUUGUAGAGGGGGGUAGAAUUCCAGGUGUAGCGGUGAAAUGCGUAGAGAUCUGGAGGAAUACCGGUGGCGAAGGCGGCCCCCUGGACAAAGACUGACGCUCAGGUGCGAAAGCGUGGGGAGCAAACAGGAUUAGAUACCCUGGUAGUCCACGCCGUAAACGAUGUCGACUUGGAGGUUGUGCCCUUGAGGCGUGGCUUCCGGAGCUAACGCGUUAAGUCGACCGCCUGGGGAGUACGGCCGCAAGGUUAAAACUCAAAUGAAUUGACGGGGGCCCGCACAAGCGGUGGAGCAUGUGGUUUAAUUCGAUGCAACGCGAAGAACCUUACCUACUCUUGACAUCCAGAGAACUUUCCAGAGAUGGAUUGGUGCCUUCGGGAACUCUGAGACAGGUGCUGCAUGGCUGUCGUCAGCUCGUGUUGUGAAAUGUUGGGUUAAGUCCCGCAACGAGCGCAACCCUUAUCCUUUGUUGCCAGCGGUCCGGCCGGGAACUCAAAGGAGACUGCCAGUGAUAAACUGGAGGAAGGUGGGGAUGACGUCAAGUCAUCAUGGCCCUUACGAGUAGGGCUACACACGUGCUACAAUGGCGCAUACAAAGAGAAGCGACCUCGCGAGAGCAAGCGGACCUCAUAAAGUGCGUCGUAGUCCGGAUUGGAGUCUGCAACUCGACUCCAUGAAGUCGGAAUCGCUAGUAAUCGUGGAUCAGAAUGCCACGGUGAAUACGUUCCCGGGCCUUGUACACACCGCCCGUCACACCAUGGGAGUGGGUUGCAAAAGAAGUAGGUAGCUUAACCUUCGGGAGGGCGCUUACCACUUUGUGAUUCAUGACUGGGGUGAAGUCGUAACAAGGUAACCGUAGGGGAACCUGCGGUUGGAUCACCUCCUU